ACGGAGGGUGCGAGCGUUGUUCGGAGUUAUUGGGCGUAAAGCGCGUGUAGGCGGUCUUUUAAGUCUGAUGUGAAAGCCCCGUGCUCAACCUUUCCCGUGCAUUGGAAACUGGGAGACUUGAAUACGGGAGAGGGUAGUGGAAUUCCUAGUGUAGGAGUGAAAUCCGUAGAUAUUAGGAGGAACACCGGUGGCGAAGGCGGCUACCUGGACCGAUAUUGACGCUGAGACGCGAAAGCGUGGGGAGCAAACAG
rnacentral:rRNA from 1 species